rnacentral:rRNA from 1 species
CCUACGGGAGGCAGCAGUGGGGAAUAUUGGGCAAUGGGCGCAAGCCUGACCCAGCAAUGCCGCGUGAAGGAAGAAGGCUUUCGGGUUGUAAACUUCUUUGGCAGGGGAAGAGCAGAAGACGGUACCCUGAAAACAAGCCACGGCUAACUACGUGCCAGCAGCCGCGGUAAUACGUAGGUGGCAAGCGUUGUCCGGAUUUACUGGGUGUAAAGGGCGUGUAGCCGGGAAGGCAAGUCAGAUGUGAAAUCUGGAGGCUCAACCUCCAAAUUGCAUUUGAAACUGGUUGUCUUGAGUACAGGAGAGGCAGACGGAAUUCCUUGUGUAGCGGUGAAAUGCGUAGAUAUAAGGAGGAACACCAGUGGCGAAGGCGGUCUGCUGGACAGCAACUGACGGUGAGGCGCGAAAGCGUGGGGAGCAAACAGGAUUAGAUACCCUUGUAGUC